rnacentral:misc_RNA from 1 species
UUAACUUAUUUCUUAGUUUGAUUCAGAAUUAACAAAAUUAACAAGAGUUUAAAUGUCCACCGGCUUCCAGCACCCUUUCGGGUACCUUCCACCGAGGAAACAGUGGUAAGUUCACAUGGUUUUAGGAGUUAAAAACUCUGUAAUGAUCCCUCCGCAGGUUCACCUACGGAGA